AUACAGAGGGUGCAAGCGUUAAUCGGAUUUACUGGGCGUAAAGCGCGCGUAGGUGGCUAAUUAAGUCAAAUGUGAAAUCCACGAGCUUCACUUGGGAAUUGCAUUCGAUACUGUUUAGCUAGAGUAUGGGAGAGGAUGGUAGAAUUCCAGGUGUAUCGGUUAAAUGCGUAGAGAUAUGGAGGAAUACCGAUGGCGAAGGAAGCCAUCUUGCCUAAUACUGACACUGAGGUGCGAAAGCAUGGGGAGCAAACAGGAUUAGAUUCCCUGGUAGUCCAUGCCGUAAACGAUGUCUACUAGCCGUUGGGGCCCUUGAGGCUUUAGUGGCGCAGCUAACGCGAUAAGUAGACCGCCUGGGGAGUACGGUCGCAAGACUAAAACUCAAAUGAAUUGACGGGG
rnacentral:rRNA from 1 species